ACUCCUCAAAAGAACAACAACCCAAAAAUAAAAAUAAUCAGAGAGAUACAUAAAGAGAGACCUGUAGGAUUGACGACAAAAAUGAGGUCACGCCGGCGAGAGGAGGAAGACCCACUUCUGGAAACAGACCGCUCAACAAAGAGAUCAAGGGCUUUGAGAUUCUGGUGUUCAGCCAAUACAGAGAAAGAGGAGAGACGAAAGAAAAGGAGAAGAGAACGGGGAAGAGACAGACCGGAAGCUUUUGCUUAAAACAAGACAACUGGAAGGAAACAAAGAGGCAAGAAGCAGCCAACAUGGAGGAUCUUUUCCUUGAAGUAACUGCAUGCAACAAACAACUUCAAUUAUGACAACAAAUUUGGGAAAAGGAGGAUUUGAAAGUGUUUAUUGUUUUGGGAUGGAUCACAAUCUUUAUAAGAGAACCACUCAGAUACAAAAGAAAAGACGGCAAAUCAGAUUGUGUGUGUUUUGGAAAAGCAAAAAAUAUUAUCUGCACACGCUCACAAAAAAAACUUGGCUGACCAAAACAGAAUUAGCAGGAGGCUACCUGAAACUAAUCAAUUUACAUCUACAAGCUCCCAAAUUAAAAUUCCAUUGAUAGUCUGAGAGGAAGAUUUGACUAAAAUCAAAUACAAAAGGAGCGAAGCGCAAUAGAAUGGCUUUGAGGCUGAGUUUAUUUGAGGAUCUUCACUUACAAAGGUUGCUCUCUAGGAAAAGAGAGGAGACAAAACAACGAGAGAGAGGAGAACAGGGAAUAAGGAAAAGAAGCAUAAGAGGCGGAAAGUUGUUACUCAAAACAAAACAGUAAAUCCCGCAACAAAGCACGGGCAAAUAUUACUAGUAAAACUGAAGCAAGCAAAGCAAACAGGAAAAAGUUGAGAUACAAAAUAACUAGUGAUGAGAGAUGAAGCUGCAGGGCACAGGAGGAAGGCAUCUUAAUCUGAACAGAAAGUCAACGCGCAAACUAUAGAUGGUUGUAUACUAAGCAGGUAGCUUAUUAUGGUUGUGCAAGAUCUCCCGUUUGCAACAAGCCUGCACAAUACCUAAGCUGAUCUAAAGGAAUUAGCAGACCAAAGUUCUUUCUCAUAUUCCUCUUUUACUAAGGUUACUUAAGGUCAGCGCAUAUACAAAGAAUAGCUAGAUAGCCAAGCCUUAUUCUACAAAUAUAUGGAUAUUCCUUUCUAAGGUGCACUGAUACUUUUAUAUUAGUUGCUAUAUGUCCUAAUAUAUAGAAAACAGCUAGCUAAUAUGUAGUCUAUAUGGAUCGAAAAUUCAAAAUACAUAUUAUGUACACAAAAUCUUCUAGUUAGUUAUUUUGCUUUGUCAUAAUGUCAGUAACUCCACAAUGAAGAAGGUAACUAAUAUUAUGAACAAUAGACACACUGAUAUUUAUAUU